CUAGACAGACUGCCUGCGCAAGCAGAGAGGGAAGGAGGGGACGACGUCAAGUCAUCAUGGCCCUUAGCCCAGGGCGACACACGUGCUACAAUGGCGCAUACAGCGGGUCGCGAGCCGGUAACGGUCAGCCAACCUCUAAAAGUGCGUCUCAGUUCGGAUUGGGGUCUGCAACUCGACCCCAUGAAGCUGGAAUCGCUAGUAAUCGCGCAUCAGCCAUGGCGCGGUGAAUACGUUCCCGGGACCUU
rnacentral:rRNA from 1 species